GAUGAACGCUGGCGGCGUGCCUAAUACAUGCAAGUCGAACGCUUCACUUCGGUGAAGAGUGGCGAACGGGUGAGUAAUACAUAAGUAACCUGGCAUCUACAGGGGGAUAACUGAUGGAAACGUCAGCUAAGACCGCAUAGGUGUAGAGAUCGCAUGAACUCUAUAUGAAAAGUGCUACGGGACUGGUAGAUGAUGGACUUAUGGCGCAUUAGCUUGUUGGUAGGGUAACGGCCUACCAAGGCGACGAUGCGUAGCCGACCUGAGAGGGUGACCGGCCACACUGGGACUGAGACACGGCCCAGACUCCUACGGGAGGCAGCAGUAGGGAAUUUUCGGCAAUGGGGGAAACCCUGACCGAGCAACGCCGCGUGAAGGAAGAAGUAAUUCGUUAUGUAAACUUCUGUCAUAGAGGAAGAACGGCGGAUAUAGGGAAUGAUAUCCAAGUGACGGUACUCUAUAAGAAAGCCACGGCUAACUACGUG
rnacentral:rRNA from 1 species